AUUGAACGCUGGCGGCAGGCCUAACACAUGCAAGUCGAGCGGAUGAAGGGAGCUUGCUCCUGGAUUCAGCGGCGGACGGGUGAGUAAUGCCUAGGAAUCUGCCUGGUAGUGGGGGAUAACGUCCGGAAACGGGCGCUAAUACCGCAUACGUCCUGAGGGAGAAAGUGGGGGAUCUUCCGACCUCACGCUAUCAGAUGAGCCUAGGUCGGAUUAGCUAGUUGGUGGGGUAAAGGCCUACCAAGGCGACGAUCCGUAACUGGUCUGAGAGGAUGAUCAGUCAAAAUGGAACUGAGACACGGUCCAGACUCCUACGGGAGGCAGCAGUGGGGAAUAUUGGACAAUGGGCGAAAGCCUGAUCCAGCCAUGCCGCGUGUGUGAAGAAGGUCUUCGGAUUGUAAAGCACUUUAAGUUGGGAGGAAGGGCAGUAAGUUAAUACCUUGCUGUUUUGACGUUACCAACAGAAUAAGCACCGGCUAACUUCGUG
rnacentral:rRNA from 1 species